GCCCCGCCCACCAGCGGCUGCGGCAAACGCGAGCCCGCCCUCCGGCCACGCCCCCCAGGGCAGCCAAUGCCCGGGCUGGGGCGGGGUGAGGCGCCUUAACCCCUUCGUCGCUGCGCCCCGCCCGCGCGUGGGACCCCUCAGCCUCACCCUCUCUAGGGCGCAGCAAGUCCGCCGCGAGCCCCUCUGCUCAUCGCUCGUUACCCCCCAGGCCCUUGGGCUUGGGCUCAGGCCCAGUCGUUCCUCUGCAACAAAUCCAAUGGAACCGCGCCCUCCCUGAAUCCCACGUCUAGGAAGAGGAGGAGGAGCCCCUCUUGCUUGGGGGAAGGGGCUCCCGACUCGGAGCCCCGAGCCCCAUUCCUCUCCCGCGCCAGCUCUUCGGGACGCGGCCUCCCAGCGGACGCCCUGAGACCUUGCAAGUCCGCUAGGGAGGGGUCGGGACGAGCCGUCGCGGGUGGAUCCGCCCGGCCGAGCAACGACCCGCCCGGGCGCGAGGACCACGGGCUGUCGUGCGGGAGGCGUCGAGGGGCAGUAAACUCCGUUCGUGACCAAACGGAGACGAUUUGAAACUUGCUGCUCACACUGGAUCACCGUCUGGAAGAUUCUGAUUUGACUGGUCCUGGGUGCAACGGGGCUGGCAUGAGACGACUAAAAACUCCCCAGGUGAAUCCAAUGAGCAACCAGGCUAAGGACCAGUGAUCUAACUAAUGUAGGCUCCAGAUGGCCUUCCAAACAAUACAUGUGGCCCUUCACGCUCCAGGUGAUGACAAGUACCCGUUGCUGAUGGAAGUAGCAGAGUCAUACCUUUCUUGGAAUUUAGGUUCUACAGUCAAUGCUUAUGGCACCCAAUGAGUCAAAAACACCCUUGGCAACUCCUAAGGAAGGCUCUGCCCUGGAACCUGAUGUACUGUUUCCCCAUCACCAUCCAGGGAGAGUUUCCUCCUGGGCCGGAACAGAAAGCUGCCUCCUCCAUCAGGCACCAGAGGAAGUAGGGGGCUUCUGUUUAGGGACCACUUUGCAUAAAUACACAUUUAAACAUGUGCCUCACCCUCAGCACAGCAGGAUGCUCACGCCAUGAACAGCCAACAGGAACCAGAGUGACCGACCCUCCAGGAGGUACACACCUCCCUCCCAUCCCACCCACUUCUGAGCAUAUGGUUCUCACAUCCACCAGUGGGUGGAAUCACCCACACCAUUUAAACUUUUUGUCAAGGAUGUAGAGCUGAAUUCAUGUGAUUUCCCACAUGAGCAAUGUCCCUCCCUCCACUGCACAAUUAUAGCCAGCUCAAGCAGGUCCUCUCCUUCCUUCUACCUGCCCUGCAAAUGGCUCUCUCCUUCACUGACCCCCCGCCCUCCUUCUUAAAGGCUGAUGCUCCCUAGGACUCUAUCCUUGAUGCUUCUCAUUAAUUCUUCUCCCCGCUGGCUCUCAGCCCUACUUAGGGCUCCUGAUCAGUUAAAAAAGACCCAUGAGACCUCCCCUCCCCAGUUAACAGAGAUGUGGCCCAAGAGGCUCCCCACUUCUAAUUUGAGUGGGGGCAAAAGAAGAGAAAGAUCUUAUCUAGGUCUUGGGGGCAGGGCUUGCAGGGCACAAAGAAACAGAGUAAAUGUGCAACAGGCUAUUUUCUUGAAUGAAUGGAUUCAUAAUAAGAACAGGACUUCACCAGCUUCCAAGGGACCCUCCCCACCUCUCGGAUAUAUUCUGAAGCCUAAAUUUCACCUGCUUAUCUAGGAUCCUAGGCCAGGCCUUCUGCCACACCAAGCCACACCAACUCUGAGUCCAAGAGGGAAGGACUG
rnacentral:lncRNA from 10 species